GCAGUUAAUUACACAUUUACGUUAUGAUCCUUGCCACGAAGAAGCAUCCGUGCCAGCUGAAAUGUACACUUUGUGUUUUGAUAACUUAGCACUUCCUCCGUCCGACUACUGGAUGGUAUUUGUCGAAGCUGAGAACAAAUGACAAGCGGUCCUUGUGCUUAUUACUUCCCCUCAUGGCUAGUUUUCAGGCAACAGGACCCUCCAAAGACGACCGGUCUCCUGAAAACCAUUAAACUGAGGACAGAGGAGUCAAAGCUGGCCUACGGCAGGGGAAGGCGCAGGAAGACUGCGCUGCUUUGGAAGGAUUGGGGAACCAGAGGUGGAAAAAGAACUAGGUGGCUCCAGGUCAGUGGAAGCAUCACCAGGAGACAACUGAAAGGACUCUUGUUCCUCGUGGACAGAGUAUGUUCCAGCACCGUCCUCUGUCUGCCCCUGGCCUCCGAUGCCUGUUCACCAGAAAUUCCCAGGCACAUCUCCAGGCUCGGUUCCGGUCAACCUGAGCCCCUCCCCUGAGCUCAUGACCCCACGUUAGUACUGUUGGUGCCAGCUUGUCACUCCACGGCCGAGACCCGCCGAGACCCGCCAUCUCGGUGUCUCAGCUGCCAAUUUUCCCACCAAUGUUUGCUCUUUUUUUCA